rnacentral:lncRNA from 1 species
UUUCUUACACUUCCAUACACAAGGUAAUACAAACCAUGUUCAUUUCAAAAGCCAAAACUGUAUUACAUAAAUUAUUAUAACCAAAACACAUAAACCUUGUCCAUUCUCAUUACAACCAAAAACCAACUCACAUGAUGACAUACACAAUACAAUGACCAAAGUACAUGACCUAAGCAUCAGUACAACAUAUACAAAACCAUGCCUCAAAUUCACAACA